GAUGAACGCUGGCGGCGUGCCUAAUACAUGCAAGUCGAGCGAACAGACGAGGAGCUUGCUCCUCUGACGUUAGCGGCGGAUGGGUGAGUAACACGUGGAUAACCUACCUAUAAGACUGGGAUAACUUCGGGAAACCGGAGCUAAUACCGGAUAAUAUAUUGAACCGCAUGGUUCAAUACUGAAAGACGGUUUUGCUGUUACUUAUAGAUGGAUCCGCGCCGCAUUAGCUAGUUGGUAAGGUAACGGCUUACCAAGGCAACGAUGCGUAGCCGACCUGAGAGGGUGAACGGCCACACUAGAACUGAGACACGGUCCAGACUCCUACGGGAGGCAGCAGUAGAGAAUCUUCCGCAAUGGGCGAAAGCCUGACGGAGCAACGCCGCGUGAGUGAUGAAGGUCUUCGCAUCGUAUAACACUGUUAUUAGGGAAGAACAAAUGGGUAAGUAACUAUGCACGUCUUGACGGUACCUAAUCAGAAAGCCACGGCUAACUACGUG
rnacentral:rRNA from 1 species